UGAGUAACACGUAUCCAACCUGCCGUCUACUCUUGGCCAGCCUUCUGAAAGGAAGAUUAAUCCAGGAUGGCAUCAUGAGUUCACAUGUCCGCAUGAUUAAAGGUAUUUUCCGGUAGACGAUGGGGAUGCGUUCCAUUAGAUAGUAGGCGGGGUAACGGCCCACCUAGUCAACGAUGGAUAGGGGUUCUGAGAGGAAGGUCUCCCACAUUGGAACUGAGACACGGUCCAA
rnacentral:rRNA from 1 species